UUGACAGAUCCGGGCGACGUCAGGCCGUCUCUGGGCCAUUUGGCAUGCGGUGGGCGUCUGGCAUGCUGAAGACUGCCUGUCAAACGCCUAUGACUCCAUAGAGUGGUGCGGGGACCCUACGGAGCGGCAGAUGGGCCAUUAAGACACUGAAAAGUCUCAAGGUUAAGAGGCUGAGAGUUGAGGCAGUCCUGCCAAGCCCCUGGGCCACUUUUGUCACAGUACUGCAGAAGGCUGGACUCACAGGAACAGAAGACAAUGUCAUCAUCUAGAGGGUUGGCCAUGAAAAAGAUGCAUGGCUCUGACCAAUCAAGACGGCAGGAGGCAAAUAGCAAUAAGGCAUUGGGCCGAAGCCGGAGUGGAGGAAUCCGCUGGAUCUCACUGACCCAUGGAGGAGAGGGGCGGAUGGGAGAGAUGAUGCUACGCAGCAGAGACAAACUGUCUUCAAUUAAAGCCCAGGCAAGCAAUGCAGGACCACAGAUGAGGUGUCAAGAGGUUCAGCCAUGGAUACUCAGGAGCGUGCGUUCAGCAAAAGAGAAUUUGGGAAUUCAAGUUAAUGUGUUUGUGUGCAGGACGGAAUAGAUCUGCAGACUUUUUCCACAUUUGGUCAUGGGUAGCCUGUUAUUAAAGAAAACAUCUAUAAUAAGAAGAAUAUAGAAUUAAAUUUAGAUAAAUUGAAACAAAACUAUACAUUUAAAAUCUCAAAUUUGU
ensembl:lncRNA